CUUUCUCUUUCAUGUUGCAGGACAUCUUCUACUGUUAUGUGAUCCUUGGUUUCAGUCUCUUAAUGCUGAUGACUCCAGAAUUGAAUGAUCAACAAAGGUGGCAUCUGAGGCAACAGAUAUAGGAAGAUCUAUCUUUUAUCCAGAUUCUAGUUUAUCAAACACCUUUGGGUUCAAGAUACAGGACAAGCAAGGUCUUGGAUUUAUUGGAAGAUUCCAGCUGAAUACUUCUUAAUCUUUUUUUGGGAGGAUCAAGAGAGACGAACAAGAAGCAAGCUGAGCUCAAUGCAAAACUUGAUGCUGGAUUAAAACUUGAUCUGUUGUUUGAUGUGUGAUGUGAUGUGAUACCGGAAAACUUGAGGUGUAUGAUGUAACAGCAUUCUAAUUUUGAAACUGAUUCUGUGGGCUAUUUUUU